GACGAACGCUGGCGGCGUGCUUAACACAUGCAAGUCGAACGGUGAAGCUCCAGCUUGCUGGAGUGGAUCAGUGGCGAACGGGUGAGUAACACGUGAGCAACCUGCCCCUGACUCUGGAAUAAGCGCUGGAAACGGCGUCUAAUACUGGAUACGAGAAGGAUCCGCAUGGGCACUUUCUGGAAAGUUUUUCGGUUGGGGAUGGGCUCGCGGCCUAUCAGCUUGUUGGUGAGGUAAUGGCUCACCAAGGCGACGACGGGUAGCCGGCCUGAGAGGGCGACCGGCCACACUGGGACUGAGACACGGCCCAGACUCCUACGGGAGGCAGCAGUGGGGAAUAUUGCACAAUGGGCGAAAGCCUGAUGCAGCGACGCCGCGUGAGGGAUGACGGCCUUCGGGUUGUAAACCUCUUUCAGCAGGGAAGAAGCGAAAGUGACGGUACCUGCAGAAGAAGCACCGGCUAACUACGUG
rnacentral:rRNA from 1 species